UUUAUUUGCGCAGCAUAGGUGGGAGGCAUUGAGUUUAUUCUUGCGGGAAUUUAGGAGCCAUCAGUGAGAUACCACUCUGGUAAUGUUAGAUUUCUAACUUUGUAUCAUGAUCUGGUCAAAGAACAGUUUCAGGCGGGCAGUUUGACUGGGGCGGUCGCCUCCCAAAUGGUAACGGAGGCGUACAAAGGUUUCCUCUGAACGUGUAGAAAUCGUAUCUAGAGUGUAAAGGCAUAAGGAAGCUUGACUGUGAGACCUACAAGUCGAGUAGGGACGAAAGUCGGUCUUAGUGAUCUGACGGUGCUGAGUGGAAAGGCCGUCACUCAACGGAUAAAAGUUACUCUAGGGAUAACAGGCUGAA
rnacentral:rRNA from 1 species